rnacentral:rRNA from 1 species
CUCAGAUACAUACGGAUAACUAUGCUAAUUGUGUGGCUAAUACGUGAUGCAAAAGCUUGCUUUGCCCCAAUUAUUUUAAAAGCUCCAAACUUGAUUGUUUAUUGGGUGCUUAGACCUUGAGUCUAUUGAGAAUGGGUCUCUGAUCUAUCAGCUGUGGACGGUUGUGUAUUGGACAACCGUGGCUUUGACGGAUAACGGGGAAUUAGGGUUCGGUUCCGGAGAGAACGCAUGAGAAACGGCGUUCACAGCUAAGGUUGGCAGCAGGAGCGAAAACUUUUCAAAUAGGCAAUGCCUGAAAAGGUGACUAUCCGUAUCAACGACUGCUUUUAGUAGUUGAUUGAAAUGAGAGACUUUUAGACCUAGUCUCGAGUAGCAAGUUCAGGGCAAGUCUGGUGCCAGCAGCCGCGGUAAUACCAGCUGAGCUAGAAAUGGGUAACAUUGUUGCAGUAAAAACGUACGUAGUCACCUCCGUUUUACUUACUUUCCUUUAUUGGAUAAGUAAAUGAACAAAUCACUUAAUAUUUAUAUUAUGUGAACUCCGCGAGUAAACUAGAAUGAUUAACUUGAAUGUUGAAUAUGACAGCGUGGGAAAUCUGAUGAUGCCUAACGAUUACGUUGCUUAUCUUAAUCUUAGGGAUAAACUGUAAGAAUGAAUGAGGGCAUUAGUACUUAGUAGCUAGAGGUGAAAUUCCUAGAUUUGCUAAUGACUUACUACUGCGAAAGCAUCUGCCUAAUUCAUUUUUGGUGAUCAAGUACUAAAGAGUGGGGAUCGAAGAGGAUUAGAUACCCUCGUAGUCCACUCCCUAAACGAUGCCGACUAGAGGUUGGUGUACGUAAAUGAACUUUAUCAGAACCUUAGCAGAUAUGAAAGUCUUUGGGCUCUGGGGGGAGUACGGUCGCAAGGGCGAAACUUAAAGGAAUUGACGGAACGGCACCACCAGGGGUGGAGCGUGCGGCUUAAUUUGACUCAACGCGGGAAACCUUACUAGGGUAUGACAUUAGUAUGAUUGACAGAUUACUUGAUCUUUCUUGAUUUGGUGGGUGGUGGUGCAUGGCCGAUCUUAGUUGGUGGGGUGACCCGUCUGGUUAAUUUCGAUAACGAACGAGAUCCGAGCUGUUUAGUUGGCGAAUUUCAUUUUGGUGAAAUUCUGUCUCCUAUAUGGACUGUCAGUUUGAGGCUGAAGGAAGUUUCGGGCUAAAUCAGGUCUGUGAUGCCCUUAGACACUCUAGGCGGCACGCGCGCUACAAUGGGUGGAAGACCGUGUUACUGCCUUCGAAAGAAGGGGUGAAUCACGAAUUCUUACCCGUGAAUGGGAUAGUUUGUUGCAAUUUUCGGACUUGAACUAGGAAUCCCUUGUAAGCAUGCUCAAGAAUAGCGUGUUGAAUACGUCCCUGCCGUUUGUACACACCGCCCGUCGUUUCUUCCGACUGAUACUCAUUGUGAGUUGCAAGGAUUCUUUAUUGAAAAAUUGCU